UACGUAGGCAGCGAGCGUUGUUCGGAAUUACUGGGCGUAAAGAGUGUGUAGGCGGUGCUCUAAGUUCGGUGUGAAAUCUCCUGGCUUAACUGGGAGGGUGCGCCGGAAACUGGAGUGCUUGAGCGUGGGAGAGGAAAGCGGAAUUCCUGGUGUAGCGGUGAAAUGCGUAGAUAUCGGGAGGAACACCAGUGGCGAAGGCGACUUCCUGGCCUGUUCUUGACGCUGAGGCGCGAAAGCUAGGGGAGCAAACGGG
rnacentral:rRNA from 1 species